rnacentral:rRNA from 1 species
GACGAACGCUGGCGGCGUGCCUAACACAUGCAAGUCGAGCGGGGUGAGUUCUUCGGAACGAUCCUAGCGGCGGACGGGUGAGUAACACGUGGGUAACCUGCCUCAAAGUGGGGGAUAGCCUUUCGAAAGGAAGAUUAAUACCGCAUAACCCAUAGCUUCCGCAUGGAAGCAAUGGUAAAGAUUUAUCGCUUUGAGAUGGACCCGCGGCGCAUUAGCUAGUUGGUGAGGUAACGGCUCACCAAGGCCACGAUGCGUAGCCGACCUGAGAGGGUGAUCGGCCACAUUGGAACUGAGACACGGUCCAGACUCCUACGGGAGGCAGCAGUGGGGAAUAUUGCACAAUGGGCGCAAGCCUGAUGCAGCAACGCCGCGUGAGUGAUGAAGGUCUUCGGAUUGUAAAGCUCUGUCUUUGGGGACGAUAAUGACGGUACCCAAGGAGGAAGCCACGGCUAACUACGUGCCAGCAGCCGCCGUAACAC